rnacentral:rRNA from 1 species
GCAGCCGCGGUAAUACGAAGGUGGCAAGCGUUGUUCGGAUUCACUGGGCGUACAGGGAGCGUAGGCGGUUAGGUAAGCCCUCCGUGAAAUCUCCGGGCCUAACCCGGAAAGUGCAGAGGGGACUGCUUGGCUAGAGGAUGGGAGAGGAGCGCGGAAUUCCCGGUGUAGCGGUGAAAUGCGUAGAGAUCGGGAGGAAGGCCGGUGGCGAAGGCGGCGCUCUGGAACAUUUCUGACGCUGAGGCUCGAAAGCGUGGGGAGCAAACAGGAUUAGAUACCCUGGUAGUCCACGCCUUAAACUAUGGAUACUAAGUGUCGGCGGGUUACCGCCGGUGCCGCAGCUAACGCAGUAAGUAUCCCGCC